AGUUUGAUCAUGGCUCAGAUUGAACGCUGGCGGCAGGCCUAACACAUGCAAGUCGAACGGUAACAGGAAUCAGCUUGCUGAUUCGCUGACGAGUGGCGGACGGGUGAGUAAUGUCUGGGAAACUGCCUGAUGGAGGGGGAUAACUACUGGAAACGGUAGCUAAUACCGCAUAACGUCGCAAGACCAAAGAGGGGGACCUUCGGGCCUCUUGCCAUCGGAUGUGCCCAGAUGGGAUUAGCUAGUAGGUGGGGUAACGGCUCACCUAGGCGACGAUCCCUAGCUGGUCUGAGAGGAUGACCAGCCACACUGGAACUGAGACACGGUCCAGACUCCUACGGGAGGCAGCAGUGGGGAAUAUUGCACAAUGGGCGCAAGCCUGAUGCAGCCAUGCCGCGUGUAUGAAGAAGGCCUUCGGGUUGUAAAGUACUUUCAGCGGGGAGGAAGGGAGU
rnacentral:rRNA from 1 species